rnacentral:lncRNA from 1 species
UCAGGAAGGAGACCAUUGGCUGAAGCAAAGUGUGCAAGGAGCAGAGUGGUAGAAAAUGAGUGAGGGAGGUGGUGGGAUGGGUACCUGGGGUGGAGUAGGGAGGGCAGACUGAGAUGGAGACCUUAAUGAAAGCUGUAAGUACAUUGACUUUGUGCAUCUAAUGAGAAACCACUGAGACUUUUGAGUAACAGGUGAUGUGACCCAUUUUUUGUAUUAAGUUUACUCUGGGGUUCUGUAGAGUGUAGAGUUUACGGGGCCAAGUGUGGAAUCAAAGACACCAGGGAGGAGGUUACUGCAGAAAUCCUGGGAGAGGUGACAGGACUGGACCAGGGUACAAGCGACAAUGAGUGGUCAGGUUUGGGAAGCGUUUGGAAAUAGAAAUGGAAGGCUCUGCUGAUGGAUUGUGUGGCGUGUGAAACAGAAAAGUAAAACAUAACUCUGGGUGUUUGGCCGAGCAAGUAGAAACUCACAGAGGAAACUGAUGCAAUUCAGGCCACAGAUACACUUUCAUUAAAAAAAUCAAAUUUCUGAAUUUCUUGAACAAUUGGAAGACCUGACAUCAAUGGGCCCAAAUUAUUGCAUAACAGCAAUUUGCUAGAGGUGAGUCCAUGCUUUCUUUCAGAAGGACAAGGCUCAUCCCAGGAGGAUCCAUGAUGCUUUAUGAAGACAGUCCCAACAGCCCAUCUCUGUCAUCCUCCAGACGUGCCAAGGCUGAAUCAUGGAGCAAACAGAGCACAGGCUCAAGCUGAGACCCUGCCAUGUGACCUCCUAGUUCUAUGAAAUACCCUUCAACAAUGCAGAAUUGACAAACCCUCCCAGAACCUGAUAUAGGUACACAUAUUUAUUAUAUAAGUGUCUCAGUAAAGGAACAAUUUUCUGUAGUGCUUAGUAGCAGACUUCUGACUCCAUAAGAUGUUUCUAAAUAAAGGUUUCUU